rnacentral:tmRNA from 1 species
GGGGGCGAAAAGGGUUCGACGGAGGUAAUUGAGGCUGGAAUGGCAUGCCGAGGUCCUGUCUGCUCGUUAAACAGAUGGGGACUCAAAUAACCGGAACUGACUACGGUUACGCCUACGCCUAACUGAGGCGUAGCGUCCCCUCGGUUUUCUCCUGUGGGACCGAAAGGGAUGUCAACUUAACAGGAUAGUUUCUCCUCCGACGCUUAUAGGGGGAGGGGCGAACUCUCAUAAGCUAGCACCUCGAAGAUCCUGCUCGUGGGAGUUUUGAGGUGUGAAUUCAAAACACGGGAUAAGCAUGUAGAUGCUCCAGAGGAAUGCCUUCGGACGCGGGUUCGAUUCCCGCCGCCUCCACCA